GAUGAACGCUGGCGGCGUGCCUAAUACAUGCAAGUUGAGCGAACGGACGAGAAGCUUGCUUUUCUGAUGUUAGCGGCGGACGGGUGAGUAACACGUGGAUAACCUACCUAUAAGCCUGGGAUAACUUCGGGAAACCGGAGCUAAUACCGGCUAAUAUUUUGAACCGCAUGGUUCAAAAGUGAAAGACGGUCUUGCUGUCACUUAUAGAUGGAUCCGCGCCGCAUUAGCUAGUUGGUAAGGUAACGGCUUACCAAGGCAACGAUGCAUAGCCGACCUGAGAGGGUGAUCGGCCACACCGGAACUGAGACACGGUCCAGACUCCUACGGGAGGCAGCAGUAGGGAAUCUUCCGCAAUGGGCGAAAGCCUGACGGAGCAACGCCGCGUGAGUGAUGAAGGUCUUCGGAUCGUAAAACUCUGUUAUUAGGGAAGAACAUAUGUGUAAGUAACUGUGCACAUCUUGACGGUACCUAAUCAGAAAGCCACGGCUAACUACGUG
rnacentral:rRNA from 1 species